CAUAUAUCUGUUGCUCGGAAAUUUUUAUCUUGGGGAUUAGUGUGACCUUUCCAAAUUGCUUCACAAUUUACAUAUUUCAAUUCAUGAAUUUUUCAUAAUUUCCGGAGUGUAGAGGAUAUGGCGGUUCGAGUUAUGAACGGCACCGCCGUCUUCCGCUGCUGCGUGGUGUCGCCGCCGCUCUCCGCCGUCCGAUGCUGCCUGCACCAGCAAAAGUCUGUUGUUCAAUGCCACUCCUCCUCCCGCUUCUCGAUUUCCCGGCGACUUCACUAUCGACUCGUAUCUUUUGGAUGUGGGAGGGUUUCUAUUUCGAGGUACUCAACUCAGAGUCUGGUGGAUUUUGUGGUGGAAGAGCUCGAGUCACUGCGCAAGCGCGGCAGAGUUCGCGCCGCAAACAAAUUGGAAUUGAAAAUCGGUGAAGAGAUUCUUGAGAAUAAGUUGGGAAAGCAGGUCUUGCAGAAAGGAUUGCUGCUGGAGUUCAGGAAAGACCCGGAGAGAGUAUUGCUAGCAGUUGCACAGAAACCAGAUGGCAAAAAGAAUUGGGUGGUUUCUGAUCAGAAUGGUGUCAUGACAUCUAUUAAGCCACAACAAAUUACUUUCAUUGUUCCUGGUAUCACGAACUUUGACCACGCAGAGAUAUCAAACUUCAUUCAGAAAGCUCAAGAUAAUUUGGAUCCUGCAUUGCUCGAGUUUGCGUGGAUUGAGCUUGUAGAAAAGAAUAAGUCAACGACAGUGGAGGGACUUGCUGAGAUGAUUUUUGGUAGUGUGGAACCUCUUGAGUGCUAUUCUGCCUAUCUAUUGCUUUCGAGAGAUGAUGUAUACUUCACAGUUAUGGAGACGAAAGGUUCAAAUUCUGUUUAUGGGCCCAGACCUGCCGUUCAGGUUGAAGAACUUACUCAAAGGAAGCAUGCCAAAGAGGCUGUGGAGAGGGAGUUCGAAGAGUUUGUUAAUUUACUAAAAUCUGCCAGGGAUAUGCCUCUGCAUGCAAAGCCUCCAAAGUCUACAUGGAUAUCUGAUGAAAAAAAUCAGAAGAAAAUUUUGUCUCUUAAAGCAUAUGCAAUUGAUGAUUGUAGGAGUGACGAAGAAAAGAAAACUGCUGGGACGAUUCUGAAGGCCAUGGGACUUUCUAAAACAUCAUCAGCAGCAGUGAAUCUCCUUACUGCUGUUGGUUAUUUUCCAGUGCAUGUAAAUCUUGAUUUAUUGAAGUUAAACAUCCGUACUGAUCACCGGGAAGAGAUUAUUGCAGCUGCUGAUAGGCUUCUGUCUGAGUCGGCUGACCUGGAUGAGGUUGACAGAAUAAAUCUGACUCACUUGAAGGUUUAUGCCAUUGAUGUUGAUGAAGCUGAUGAGCUCGAUGAUGCGCUGAGUGCAACUAGUCUUCAGGAUGGCCGAAUAAAGAUCUGGAUCCAUGUUGCAGAUCCGACUAGAUUAGUCCAGCCAGGGAGCAUGGUUGACAAAGAGGCGAUGAAGAGGGGAACUUCUGUUUUCUUACCAACUGCUACAUACCCCAUGUUCCCCGAGAGAUUAGCCAUGGAAGGCAUGAGUUUAAAGCAGGGGGAGCACUGCAAAGCAGUCACAGUCUCGGUUGUGCUGCAUUCGGAUGGCGGCAUUGCAGAAUACUCGGUGGAAAACUCUAUCAUCAAGCCAACAUAUAUGCUAACAUAUGAGAGUGCUACCGAACUUCUCCAUCUGAACCUGGAGGAGGAGGCUGAACUAAGACUUCUUUCAGAGGCUGCUGCACUCCGGUUUCAAUGGCGUCGAGGACAGGGUGCAAUAGACACAUCUACACUAGAAACGAGAAUCAAAGUGACUAAUCCAGACGAUCCAGAGCCUUCGAUCACGCUGUACGUGGAGAAUCAGUCGGACCCCGCAAUGCGACUUGUAUCCGAGAUGAUGAUACUCUGUGGUGAAGUUAUGGCCACUUUUGGUUCGUUAAACAACAUCCCCUUACCUUACCGAGGCCAACCUCAGUCCAAUAUCGAUUCAUCGGCUUUUGCACAUCUCCCCGAAGGCCCCGUAAGGAGUUCUGCAUUGGUUAAGACCAUGCGUGCCGCUGAAAUGGAUUUCAGAAAGCCUAUACGCCACGGAACUUUAGGACUUCCUGGAUAUGUUCAAUUCACAUCUCCGAUUCGCAGAUAUAUGGAUUUUCUGGCUCACUAUCAGGUGAAAGCUUUUCUUAGGGGGGAUACUCCUCCUUUCUCAGCAGGACAGCUGGAGGUGAUGGCAUCUAUGGUGAACAUGACUACUAGGGUUGUGAGGAAGCUCAGUUCCAGCAGCCUCCGGUAUUGGAUAAUAGAAUAUUUGAGGCGGCAACCGAAAGAAAAACGAUUUUCCGCUUUGGUGCUCCGAUUCAUCAAAGAUAGAGUUGCCUCGAUACUCUUGUUGGAGGUUGGAGUACAAUCUUCGGCCUGGGUAUCUAUCGGCGUACACGUAGGCGACGAAGUAAAAGUUCAAGUUGAAGAAGCCCAUCCACGUGAUGAUGUUCUUUCUUGUAAAGAGGCUCCAGGGUUAUAAAAAUCUCGAUUCCGUUAAAUAAAAUGAAUAGACAUUGAAGACUCAAGUAAUUCCGGUUCUCAGACUAAGUUAUACGCAUCUAAGUGUAUCUACACAUACGCCAGCUACCCGAGAAAUUUGAGAAUGGAUGGUCCUUAAUCCAUAUACCUGCAGUAAACCCUAGUGUGGUUUUGUUUUCAUUAUCUGUUUCAUAGCAGCAGCGAGAACCAACGAUGGAGAUUGAAGACAUGUGUAUACGUAUUCGCGAACAAGUCGAGGAAUAGGGCCCGAAAUACAGACAGCUGAUUUGAGGUAUCAUUCUGGGAUUUUUUGUCCACAAUCUAAAAUGUAUGUAUGUCCCCCUUUUCAUAUACAUACAAUCCUUUCACUUUCCUGCCAUCAUUCAUCAACUUCUCCAAAAUUAUUUUAAAUCUUCCACUGAA